rnacentral:tRNA from 1 species
CGGGGUGUGGCCCAGUUGGUAGGGUACGUGCUUUGGGAGCAUGAGGCCGCGGGUUCGAGUCCCGCCACUCCGACCA